rnacentral:tRNA from 1 species
GGCCCGUUAGCUCAGUUGGUUAGAGCGUCGUGCAAAUAACGCGAAGGUCGCGGGUUCGAUUCCCUCACAGGCCA